UUGGAGGGCAAGUCUGGUGCCAGCAGCCGCGGUAAUUCCAGCUCCAAUAGCGUAUAUUAAAGUUGUUGCAGUUAAAAAGCUCGUAGUUGAAUUUCGGGGUUAGUAGGUUGGUCAUGCCACUGGUAUGUACUGGUCUCACUGAUUCCUCCUUCCUGAUGAGCCGUAAUGCCAUUAAUUUGGUGUUGCGAGGAAUCUGGACUGUUACUUUGAAAAAAUUAGAGUGUUUAAAGCAGGCUAACGCUUGAAUACAUUAGUAUGGAAUAAUGAAAUAGGACGUUCGAUCUUAUUUUGUUGGUUUCUAGGAUUGACGUAAUGAUUAAUAGGGAUAGUUGGGGGCAUUAGUAUUCAAUUGUCAGAGGUGAAAUUCUUGGAUUUAUUGAAGACUAACUACUGCGAAAGCAUUUGCCAAGGAUGUUUUCAUUAAUCAAGAACGAAAGUUAGGGGAUCGAAGACGAUCAGAUACCGUCGUAGUCUUAACCAUAAACUAUGCCGACUAGGGAUCGGAUGAUGUUAAUUUUUUAAUGACUCAUUCGGCGCCUUACAGGAAACCAAAGUGUUUGGGUUC
rnacentral:rRNA from 1 species